rnacentral:rRNA from 1 species
CCUUCCGUAGGGGUGACCUGCGGAGGGAUCAUUACCGAGUUUACAACUCCCAAACCCCUGUGAACAUACCAAUUGUUGCCUCGGCGGAUCAGCCCGCUCCCGGUAAAACGGGACGGCCCGCCAGAGGACCCCUAAACUCUGUUUCUAUAUGUAACUUCUGAGUAAAACCAUAAAUAAAUCAAAACUUUCAACAACGGAUCUCUUGGUUCUGGCAUCGAUGAAGAACGCAGCAAAAUGCGAUAAGUAAUGUGAAUUGCAGAAUUCAGUGAAUCAUCGAAUCUUUGAACGCACAUUGCGCCCGCCAGUAUUCUGGCGGGCAUGCCUGUUCGAGCGUCAUUUCAACCCUCAAGCCCAGCUUGGUGUUGGGACUCGCGAGUCAAAUCGCGUUCCCCAAAUUGAUUGGCGGUCACGUCGAGCUUCCAUAGCGUAGUAGUAAAACCCUCGUUACUGGUAAUCGUCGCGGCCACGCCGUUAAACCCCAACUUCUGAAUGUUGACCUCGGAUCAGGUAGGAAUACCCGCUGAACUUAAGCAUAUCAAUAAGGCGGAGGAA